CCGGCAGGAGACAGCCCUCAGGCUGGGCUGAAAAGGGGCAGAGGGCCACUGCCCGCCGAGGCACAGUUUGCGCAAAGGCGCAGAGUGGGAAAGCUCCCCGGCAGCAAAGGACUGGACCGUCCCUGGCCAGAAGGAGGUGCGACUUCCAGUGGCAGAGGCUGGGCGGGGUGAGGUGAGUCAGUGUUUGGCCCAGCCAGGCCCUAGCAGUGCUGUUUCCCAUCAAGGGGCCGGGCGGGGUGGCUGCGGCUCCCUCCGGCCAGGGGUGAGGGUCUGAGUCAGCCCAAGUCAGGAGGCAAAUAAAUGCACUUAAUGGUGUGAUCAGCGCUUGACCGACUCAGCCCCAGGCCCUGUGCACGGACUUUCUACAGAGUUACUCAAUCUCGUGAAAUAAGAACAAUCACGAACACCCAUUUUAAAGGCGAGGAAGCCCAAGACCCUCUUGGAGAGGUUAUGCAACGUGCCCAAAGUUAGGAGGCUUCUGGGAAGCCUGCUGGUCUGAGUGCUGCGCCUGGGGCCACAGGGCUGCAGGGCUGGGCCCACCUGACUGCUCCGGUCACCCCCUGUGCCUCUGGAAUCAGGAGGGCUUCCUGCAGAGAAGGAGACCCCGCACACGUCACGCAGCUGCUCCCAGUUCUGCGACCCCCCUACCCCAGGCUGCUUUCCGUCUCCAUAGAGUCAUCUACCCUGAAUGCUUCAUUCUUCUCCUAGCAUGUGUUAGUAAAAUGGUUUUUAUUUUUAUUUAUUUGAGAGAGAGAGAGAAAAUGAGC